GACAUCCACAGCAACCCAUCAUUUGUCCCCACCGCAUUCCGCUACUGUUUCUCCCUCUUCUUACCGGCAAGAUUUAAUUUCCUCCAAAGGUUAAGGUUAGUGUUUAUGCUUUGAUUUCCUCUAACUUGAGGUUGCUUUACAAGUUGCACGGAGAAAAUUGUGCGCUCCAUGUCUAUAUUUAGAAAGGUGACACAUUGCUUUUGUUGUUGGUUUACUUAAUUUUAAUUAUAAAUCUAUGCUCAAAUUAGUUCUUAAUCUGUAAAUGGCUUGCAAAAUGAAUUAUAUAUUCAUAUUUGGAGAACGUUUAUUAGAGUCAAUAUAAUUGUGGCAUCUGCAGAUGAUAUUCGAUCAUGGAUGAUUUGGGGUUACUCUAUGGUCAUCCUAUGAUAUAUGGACAAAAUGCUUCUCCUUUGUAUAGGUAUAUUUAUUUCUCAAAUUUCUGAUUAGUUUAUUUUAUUGGUAUAUUUAUUUAUUUAGAAUGUUGAAACUUGAGAAAAUUAUUUUCUUUGCAGGAAUUCAGGCAUCGAGGUUCAUUUUCUUAUCAAGAAUUCUUUGAGC
rnacentral:lncRNA from 1 species